rnacentral:rRNA from 1 species
CCUGGCCUUGACAUACUAAGAACUUUCCAGAGAUGGAUUGGUGCCUUCGGGAACUUAGAUACAGGUGCUGCAUGGCUGUCGUCAGCUCGUGUCGUGAGGUGUUGGGUUAAGUCCCGCAACGAGCGCAACCCUUUUCCUUAUUUGCCAGCGGGUCAUGCCGGGAACUUUAAGGAUACUGCCAGUGACAAACUGGAGGAAGGCGGGGACGACGUCAAGUCAUCAUGGCCCUUACGGCCAGGGCUACACACGUGCUACAAUGGUCGGUACAAAGGGUUGCUACCUCGCGAGAGGAUGCUAAUCUCAAAAAGCCGAUCGUAGUCCGGAUCGCAGUCUGCAACUCGACUGCGUGAAGUCGGAAUCGCUAGUAAUCGCGGAUCAGAAUGCCGCGGUGAAUACGUUCCCGGGCCUUGUACACACCGCCCGUCACACCAUGGGAGUUUGUUGCACCAGAAGUAGGUAGUCUAACCGCAAGGAGGACGCUUACCACGGUGUGGCCGAUGACUGGGGUGAAGUCGUAACAAGGUAGGCGUAGAUGA